UACGUAGGGGCCUAGCGUUGUCCGGAUUUAUUGGGCGUAAAGAGCUCGUAGGCGGUUCGGCAAGUCGGAUGUGAAAUCUCCACGCUUAACGUGGAGGGGCCAUUCGAAACUGCCGUGACUCGAGUCCGGUAGGGGAGUGUGGAAUUCCCGGUGUAGCGGUGAAAUGCGUAGAUAUUGGGAGGAACACCAGUGGCGAAGGCGGCUCACUGGACCGGAACUGACGCUGAGGCGCGAAAGCGUGGGGAGCAAACGGG
rnacentral:rRNA from 1 species